UCCAAAAUUUUCGUUAGGUCUCCGCGUGGCCCCAAUCCCCCAUCUCAUCUCUCUCACACACACCGCAUAUCCCCCAGCGAAACCUAAGCCACAUGCCGCCCCUGCCGCCGACCUUGCUGGUCGAUUUGCUUGCGCCGCCGUAUGCUCCUUCCUCGACUUGCCUGGCGCCGCCGCCGUCCCGACUCUGACCAGCCUCGCGCCGCCACGGCGUCCGGAUCUGACCAGCCUCGCGCCACCACCUCUCCAGACUACGACCAGUCUCGCGCCACCACGGCCUUCGGCCCAGAUCUACCUCCCGUCGCCAAGGCCUCCGAGGGGAGGUACUCUACAGUCUGAGGGGCCGCCCCGUAACCUGCAGACCGAGGAGGCGACCUACCAUACUCUGCCAAGGAGACGCCCCACUGCCCCUCUUCCAACACCGGCGACGCCUCCCCUACCUCAUCUGUCCUACCCCGUUUCCAAAUCUGGCUACUGUAGGCUGGUUUAGGAACGGCUUAGGCUGACUGGAAGGGAGCGCAUGUACUACUGUAGGUGGGAGCAUGCGGCCUGGUUCAUGGCGGAGGUGGCCUAGUUCGUGAGUGGACAAAGCAACGACCUGGACCAGAUGUCUAACCGACAGUUUCACAUGGCAAAAGCUGGCGGAAACAGGAGAAGAAAGUGAGGUCCUUGUGUAUGAUGAUGGCUUGCCAAUGUUGCAGAAAACAAGGUCUCAGUCAAAGAACGGCAUCAGUGAAGCUAUAAAUGAAGGACGUAACUCAAUAGGAAUUUUGCUCGUGUCAGUAAUUGAAUGGGACAAAUGGAGGAAAGUAGCAAGUCGACAAGUUCAUCUAAGAUGUUCCGGUCACCGCUUUUGUUCAUAACACGGUUGACACAUUUUGUUCAUAUGGAAAUUGAUCUUAGCUUGGGGAUCGAAGAUUGGUCUCUUCCAUAAUUAUUUGUGGUAGUGAUCGAACAUUUAGUCUCUUAGGAACUUGGCCAUCGUAUUUUGUAAGACGCCAUGACUUGAAUGUUGACUUAUGUAUUUCCUUUAUGGUUGUAGCUAACUUCAGUGAAGAAAACUAAGAAAUUUUCUAUAUAUGUUGAAUGAAUGCAUUGAUCAAUGGUAUCUUGUGAUGAA